GUGUCAGCCGCCGCGGUAAUACCAGCAGCCCAAGUGGUGGUCACGUUUAUUGGGCCUAAAGCGCUCGUAGCCGGGUCUGUAAGUCCCUUGUGAAAUCGGACGGCUCAACCGUUCGGCUUGCAAGGGAGACUGCUAGCCUUGGAACCGGGAGAGGUCGGGGGUACUUCGGGGGUAGCGGUGAAAUGCUGUAAUCCCUGGGGGACCACCAGUGGCGAAGGCGCCCGACCAGAACGGAUUCGACGGUGAGGGGCGAAGGCUGGGGGAGCGAACGGGAUUAGAUACCCCGGUAGUCCCAGCUGUAAAGGAUGCGGGCUGGGUGUCAGGUGCCCUUCGAGAGCACCUGGUGCCGUAGGGAAGCCGUUAAGCCCGCCGCCUGGGAAGUACGGUCGCAAGGCUGAAACUUAAAGGAAUUGGCGGGG
rnacentral:rRNA from 1 species